rnacentral:rRNA from 1 species
UUACGAGGUCAGGACACUGUGGGGAUUGACAGAUUGAAAGCUCUUUCUUGAUUCAGUGGGUGGUGGUGCAUGGCCGUUCUUAGUUGGUGGAGUGAUUUGUCUGGUUAAUUCCGUUAACGAACGAGACCUUAACCUGCUAAAUAGUCACGCGAACCGGUCCGCAAGGGCUCAAAGUUCGCGGCUCGACUUCUUAGAGGGACUAUUCGCACCCGCCAGCGAAUGGAAGUUUGAGGCAAUAACAGGUCUGUGAUGCCCUUAGAUGUUCUCGGCCGCACGCGCGUUACACUGACGGAGUCAACGAGCGUUUUUCCUUGCCCGAUAGGGCCGGGUAACCUCCUGAAACUCCGUCGUGAUGGGGAUAGAUCAUUGCAAUUAUUGAUCUUGAACGAGGAAUUCCUAGUAAGCGCGAGUCAUCAACUCGCGCUGAUUACGUCCCUGCCCUUUGUACACACCGCCCGUCGCUCCUACCGAUUGAACGGUCCGGCGAGAACUCCGGAUGGUC